ACCUGGAUUACCAAAUGGGAGCUUAGACAAGCAACUAAACAAGCCCUUCAAUUGCUGCAGGACAACUACCCAGAAUUUGUUGCCAGACAGGUGUUCAUCAAUGUACCAUGGUGGUACCUUGCAGUCAAUAAGAUGAUAAGCCAUUUUUGACACAAAGAACCAGAAGCAAGUUUGCCUUGCAGGCCCUUCGAAAUCCGCAGAUAUCCUUUUCAGAUACAUUUCUGCCGAGCAAGUGCCUGUCAAAUACGGAGGAUGAGCAAAUACGGUGAAUUCGCCGACACCGACGCCGUCGUCGAGGAAACUGUUAAACCAGCGGCGAAGCACACAGUCGAGUUCCAGUUACUGAGGCAUGUUUGGUGACGUGGGAGGUGAGAGUUGUAGGGUGGGAUGUGAGCUACGGCGCGGAGUUCGUGCCUGACGGUGAAGACAGCUACACCAUAAUAUACAGAAGUGCAAGAAGGUGGUUGGUGGUUCGGUGGUGCGCGACAAUUUCAAGGCCGGUGAGCCUGGCAAGGUUGUUUCACCAUCCACAAUCACACAUCGAGAAGAAGAAGCUCCUCUAUCGCUUCAGACCAUGCCUACAUCUGAUUAGAAAUACAACCCAAUUGGAACAAUGAAGACGAAACAACAAUAUAAAAUUUUCCA